rnacentral:tRNA from 1 species
GCGUUUUUAGUUUAAUGGAUAAAACAGUAACUUUCUAAGUUAUAUUUAUAUGUAGGUUCAAAUCCUACUUUCUUCA